rnacentral:rRNA from 1 species
UACGAAGGGGGGCUUGCGUUGUUCGGAAUUACUGGGCGUAAAGCGCACGUAGGCGGGUCGUUAAGUUAGAGGUGAAAUCCCGGGGCUCAACCCCGGGACUGCCUUUGAUACUGGCGAUCUAGAGGUCGAGAGAGGUGAGUGGAAUUCCGAGUGUAGAGGUGAAAUUCGUAGAUAUUCGGAAGAACACCAGUGGCGAAGGCGGCUCACUGGCUCGAUACUGACGCUGAGGUGCGAAAGCGUGGGGAGCAAACAGG